AUUGAACGCUGGCGGCAGGCUUAACACAUGCAAGUCGAGCGAGCGGCGGACGGGUGAGUAAUGUCUGGGAAACUGCCUGAUGGAGGGGGAUAACUACUGGAAACGGUAGCUAAUACCGCAUACCAUCCGAUGUGCCCAGAUGGGAUUAGCUAGUUGGUGGGGUAAUGGCUCACCUAGGCGACGAUCCCUAGCUGGUCUGAGAGGAUGACCAGCCACACUGGAACGGAGACACGGUCCAGACUCCUACGGGAGGCAGCAGUGGGGAAUCUUCCGCAAUGGGCGAAAGCCUGACGGAGCAAGGCCGCGUGAGUGAUGAAGGUCUUCGGAUCGUAAAACCCUGUUAGUGGGGAAGCGGUACCUAAACAGAAAGCACCGGCUAACUACGUGCCAGCAGCCGCGGUAAUAC
rnacentral:rRNA from 1 species